UCUAGUCGAUAGAAGAAUGUAGAUAAGGGAAGGCGGCAAACUAGAUCCGUAACUUCGGGAAAAGGAUUGGCUCUGAGGGUUGGGUGUAGGGGUCCUUGUGCUGAUGUUUGAGCUAAGCAACAGCUACUUGACGCUUCUGGUGGAUAGUGGCUGUCUGCAUGGUAAAAGCUGCUGGGCAAGGAAUGCCUUCCGGGGCUUUCUGUGCACAAUGAACAACUAACUCAGAACUGAAGCGGACAAGGGGAAUCCGACUGUUUAAUUAAAACAAAGCAUUGCGAAGGCCGGAGACGGUGUUGACGCAAUGUGAUUUCUG
rnacentral:rRNA from 1 species